GAUGAAGAACGUAGCGAAAUGCGAUACGUAAUGUGAAUUGCAGAAUUCAGUGAAUCAUCGAAUCUUUGAACGCACAUUGCGCCCCUUGGUAUUCCGAGGGGCAUGCCUGUUCGAGCGUCAUUAUAACCCCUCAAGCUCAGCUUGGUGUUGGGGCCUGCUGCACUGGCAGCCCUUAAAAUCAGUGGCGGCGCCAUCUGGCUCUAAGCGUAGUAAUUCUUCUCGCUAUGGAGUCCUGGUGGAUGCUUGCCAUCAAACCCCAAUUUUUCUAUGGUUGACCUCGGAUCAGGUAGGGAUACCCGCUGAACUUAAGCAUAUCAAUAAGCGGAGGA
rnacentral:misc_RNA from 1 species